AGCGAACGCUAGCGGCGGGCCUAACACAUGCAAGUCGAGCGGGGAGCAAUCCCAGCGGCGAACGGGUGAGUAACACGUAGGUAAUGUGCCUUUUGGUGGGGAAUAACCGUGGGAAACCAUGGCUAAUACCGCAUAUCGUGCUUCGGCAUGAAAGCUUCUGAGGCAACUCGGGGGCGCCAGUUGAGCAGCCUGCGUCCCAUUAUUUAGUCCUAGUUGGUAGGGUAAUGGCCUACCAAGGGUACGAUGGGUAGCUGGUCUGAGAGGAUGAUCAGCCACACUGGAACUGAGACACGGUCCAGACUCCUACGGGAGGCAGCAGUGGGGAAUAUUGCGCAAUGGGGGGAAACCCUGACGCAGCCACGCCGCGUGAGUGAUGAAGGCC
rnacentral:rRNA from 1 species